AGGAACUCUAAUUAAUUGCGGUAGCACCGCCCCUUCAAUAAUCGCCGGCCGUCAAUGGCUUCCGGACACCGGAUUCAUCUCCGAAGGGACUCCCAAGAACCUUACUAUCCCAGUACUUUCCCCUAUCCUCUCCACCGUCCGAUCAUUCUCUAUGAAGAACAAUAUUCAUCACAAGUCCUGCUACGUGGUUCCGGUUUUCC
rnacentral:misc_RNA from 1 species